GGCGAGGCCCAGGCUCGGCAGGGAGGCGGGGGCGGCCCGAGGUGACAGGACCUGCGGGCCCGGGGAGGGGACAGCGGCGCCGGUGUUGGGUCGGCCACGAUCCGGCUGCAAGACGCAGAGCGCUAGCGCUGGAACAGGGUGGAAGCGGUCGGGACGGAUCAGCGAAAAUCUUGGGAAGAAAACACGGCAAAGGUGACUGCAGGAAUCUUCUGCGCCCCCCCCCCCCAAUUUGCAAGACAGAAGCAGAAUACUGGGAAAGUACUACUUUAACCCAAAAGAAUGACUUUACUAGUGGAAGAAUUUCUGUCACCUGCCAUUUGAACCGGGGAAGGUCUUUUGAGGCCAGAUUCUUCUCAAGGAUGUUCAAAUCAGACAAACAUCCACUUGGUAAACGAAGAAAGAGACGGACUUCUGGUAUCAGAUGACACAAGUGAGGGAAGAAAACCAGGUCAGCCACUGCAGUCUGUCUUCCAGGUAUACUUUUGAAGAAUAAGUGUCUUCAUCUCUAGGAAUGGAAAGCACUGAUUAUUUGACAGAUAAGGAGUGUGCAUCCUGAAAAACUACACAAUCACAACAGUGUUUCUUGGUUCCCUGCAGCCCCAACAAAUGAAUCAUUGUGUCAGUCAAGUCAUAUUCAAGGGAAAAAUUAAUUGUAAAAUAUUUUUCACUGUUUGGGCUGGUUUAAUAGAAUUUAUCCAAGAGGCUUCUCUCUUCUCAGGCUAAAUUAUCUAAGCUUAUUGACAACGGUUCUGUAAUACACAGCAUUAAUUUAUGAACCUGGAAAAUAACUUGGAAGAAAGAUAUGGCAAGUCAAUAUUGCUAUCACUCAAAUAACUAUUAAGUAUUUACUGAAGGUCUUCUAUAUGCAGUGUUGCUGGAUAGAAGCAUCAUUCCUGACGACAAAGAUCUUACAGCCAUUCUGACUAUUCAUUUUUCUUGAAACUAUUCAUAGUUUAAGUUUGCUUUUUUUUUCUCUUAUCAAGCCACUUGGAUGAGGCCCAAGCACCUUACCCUAAAUAUGAGAAACUAACUAAUGUCAUAGAGGAUGAAAUUAACAUCAACAAGAUUGGAUAGUUGAGCAUCUCCUAAGAAAGCCUUUAGGAUGAGCUUUGGCCUGUCCCUGAAGGUUGCACGAAAUAGAGCCUUGCAGCCAUGCGUAGUUCGUGUCGCAGUGAAUGUGGUGUAUUAAUACAGGAUUUUCCUUAAUCCUAGCAGAAGCAUCUGCAUUGUGCUGCCUGAUUUUUCUCUCUCAUUUGUACCAAAUAAGCCCAAACUUUUAGCAUAUUCCAGAGGAAUAAUCAAGGGGGUUCUAUCUGUAAAGUUGAUAUAUACCGUAUAACAUAAUUAAUUUGUUUAGUAUAAAUCUGUGAAAAAAUAAAAUAGUACUGUUUGUAUUUCUAAGUUUUAUGGCUACCAUUUAGAUACAGGAGAACUUCUAAGUGGCAUUUAACUUUCUAUUGGCCUUUGGCACUUUGUUUUUAUUCUGUGUGUAAGCAAAUGCUCAGUGAAAUCAGCCAUUAUAUUUACUUCUAGGGUGUGGAGCAACAAACUGUUCUUACUUUAUACUUAUAAAAUACUAUAUAUAGGACCUCAUCUUGUAGAUACUAUAGCUGAUUUUGUUUCCCUUUUCCCAAUGGCUUUUGAAAGCCUAGAUGAAAAUGUAUGUGCCAUCUGUACAGAAUCACAUUGUGUGCAUUUUGAGACAUAACCUCAUUUCAAGGUUCAUUUUCAUUUUGCUAUGUCAUUUUCCCAUUGUACUCAUUUUCUUACCUACUUAAAAAAAAAAGCUUGCUUUUAUCUUCAUGAAUGCAAUAAAUACACACUAUGUAAGACAUGUAAAAUACAUAUCAGAAAAAAAGAAAACAGGAGUUCCUGCUCCGGUGCAGUGGGUGAAGCCUCUGACUGUAGAGGCUCGGGUCACUGUGGAGGUGCAGGUUCGAUCCCUGGCCCAGUGCAAUGGGUUAAAGAAUCAAGUGAUAUGCUGCAGCUGCUGCUCGGAUUCAAUCCCUGGCCCAGAAAUUUCCAUACGCUGCGAGUACAGCCAUUAAAAAAAGAAAGAAAGAAAAAGAAAAAAAGUAAAUAAAAAUGAUCUGGUCUUUCACC